GAUGAACGCUGGCGGCGUGCCUAAUACAUGCAAGUCGAGCGAACGGACGAGAAGCUUUCUUCUCUGAUGUUAGCGGCGGACGGGUGAGUAACACGUGGAUAACCUACCUAUAAGACUGGGAUAACUUCGGGAAACCGUAGCUAAUACCGGAUAAUAUUUUGAACCGCAUGGUUCAAAAGUGAAAGACGGUCUUGCUGUCACUUAUAGAUGGAUCCGCGUUGCAUUAGCUAGUUGGUAAGGUAACGGCUUACCAAGGCAACGAUGCAUAGCCGACCUGAGAGGAUGAUCAGCCACACUGGAACUGAGACACGGUCCAGACUCCUACGGGAGGCAGCAGUAGGGAAUAUUCCACAAUGGGCGAAAGCCUGACGGAGCCACGCCGCGUGAGUGAUGAAGGUCUUCGGAUCGUAAAACUCUGUUAUUAGGGAAGAAAAUAUGUGUAAGUAACUCUGCACAUCUUGACGGUACCUAAUCAGAAAGCCACGGCUAACUACGUG
rnacentral:rRNA from 1 species